ensembl:lncRNA
ACCGCACAUGUGCAGUACCGCUGUUCACCACUAGAGGGAGCCCUAGCAAGGGGACAAGCCUGCACAUGCGCAGUGUCACAUGUGUGGAAUUGUCCAUAGAUCCCAGAAGACACUGAGAGAUCCAGAAGACAUUGAGGGAUUCCCUGAAGUUGGAGUUAUAGGUAGUUGUGAUCAUCCUGAGAUAUCAAAGGCUUUAUGUUUACCUAAGAAAACCUUGAAGGCACUAAAGCAAUCACAUUUAGAAUACUUGAAGAGGAAGCUUUUCAAAAGAGUACUGAAGAAUUGUCACAUCUAAAGCACUAGUCCUCAAAGUGUAAACC